rnacentral:rRNA from 1 species
AAUUCGAUUAGUUUGAUCAUGGCUCAGAUUGAACGCUGGCGGCAUGCCUUACACAUGCAAGUCGAACGGCAGCGCGGGGCAACCUGGCGGCGAGUGGCGAACGGGUGAGUAAUAUAUCGGAACGUACCCUGGAGUGGGGGAUAACGUAGCGAAAGUUACGCUAAUACCGCAUACGAUCUAAGGAUGAAAGCAGGGGACCGCAAGGCCUUGUGCUCCUGGAGCGGCCGAUAUCUGAUUAGCUAGUUGGUGGGGUAAAGGCCUACCAAGGCAUCGAUCAGUAGCUGGUCUGAGAGGACGACCAGCCACACUGGAACUGAGACACGGUCCAGACUCCUACGGGAGGCAGCAGUGGGGAAUUUUGGACAAUGGGCGCAAGCCUGAUCCAGCAAUGCCGCGUGAGUGAAGAAGGCCCUCGGGUUGUAAAGCUCUUUUGUCAGGGAAGAAACGGUGGAGGCUAAUAUCCUUUGCUAAUGACGGUACCUGAAGAAUAAGCACCGGCUAACUACGUGCCAGCAGCCGCGGUAAUACGUAGGGUGCAAGCGUUAAUCGGAAUUACUGGGCGUAAAGCGUGCGCAGGCGGUUUUGUAGUCUGUCGUGAAAUCCCCGGGCUCAACCUGGGAAUUGCGAUGGAGACUGCAAGGCUAGAAUCUGGCAGAGGAGGGUAGAAUUCCACGUGUAGCAGUGAAAUGCGUAGAGAUGUGGAGGAACACCGAUGGCGAAGGCAGCCCCC